GUAAAGUGUGUAGUUUUUAUAUGAACAAUUCAACAACAUGAACAUUUGUAAAACAUGUCACUCCGAAACAUGUCUUAUGAGAAAAACAAAUUAAGUAGGCGCAAAACGAAUCUCGGACAUUAUGUCGGGGAACACAGAAGCCGUAAACAACAAAAUCCAUAAUAUUGUCUCCUAAUUCAACCCAUCAUUUAUGUUUCGUCUCAUUUCACUCACGUCGUUGUAAGCCAACCAUUAUCAUAUGAUUUUUUUUUCAUUUUACAUAUUUUGUAAGUGCAUAAAUAAAGUCAACUAUAAAUCAUGA